rnacentral:rRNA from 1 species
UACGGAGGGUGCAAGCGUUAUCCGGAUUCACUGGGUUUAAAGGGUGCGUAGGUGGAUUAGUAAGUCAGUGGUGAAAUACAGCCGCUCAACGGUUGAGGUGCCAUUGAUACUGAAUAGCUUGAAAUAAUUGGAGGCUGCCGGAAUGGAUGGUGUAGCGGUGAAAUGCAUAGAUAUCAUCCAGAACACCGAUUGCGAAGGCAGGUGGCUACGAUUUAUUUGACACUGAGGCACGAAAGCAUGGGGAGCAAACAGG